rnacentral:rRNA from 1 species
AUUGAACGCUGGCGGAAUGCUUUACACAUGCAAGUCGAACGGCAGCACGGACUUCGGUCUGGUGGCGAGUGGCGAACGGGUGAGUAAUGUAUCGGAACGUGCCCAGUCGUGGGGGAUAACGUAGUGAAAAUUACGCUAAUACCGCAUACGAUCUAUGGAUGAAAGCGGGGGACCGUAAGGCCUCGCGCGAUUGGAGCGGCCGAUGUCAGAUUAGGUAGUUGGUGAGGUAAAGGCUCACCAAGCCGACGAUCUGUAGCUGGUCUGAGAGGACGACCAGCCACACUGGGACUGAGACACGGUCCAGACUCCUACGGGAGGCAGCAGUGGGGAAUUUUGGACAAUGGGCGAAAGCCUGAUCCAGCCAUUCCGCGUGCAGGAUGAAGGCCCUCGGGUUGUAAACUGCUUUUGUACAGAACGAAAAGGUUUCUACUAAUACUAGGAGCUCAUGACGGUACUGUAAGAAUAAGCACCGGCUAACUACGUGCCAGCAGCCGCGGUAA